UUAUUUUUUUUGUGCAGCGCUUGUGCAAAUUGAGACCUUUGAAAUGCUUUUUUUUUUUUUUUUUUUCAAGAUGUCUGAAUUUGGAAGUGAUUAAUCCUCCACAAUGUAACUCAGAGGCUACUGUAUUUUGUGUCCAAAAGAAAAACAUACUUACUGUGCAUACUGCUUUUUGACAGCAGCAUAGACACAGACAUAAAAAAUAAGGCAAGUGAUUCAUAAAUAUACUCAUCAUAACCAUUGACAAAUAAUAAUGAUUUAAAAAAAAAAGGAGGGGAUGUUUCAUACCCAGUCAUAAAUGUUUCAGUGCAAAAUACAACAUUCAAGUGUAUUUAUCUCAAGAUCCAAACAAAGGUCAAUUCAUCGUGAAAUAUUUAUUCAUUUACUAAUAGCGACGCCGAUUGAUUUGUUCCAUCUCAAAGUAUAAACAAUAAGAGUUCUAAUAAUACAAUUAUGUAUGGGUGUUUUUGGCGUGAACGCUGUUGUUAUUUUUUACUCCAUCUGUUGAUCAUUUUGUAAUGUUUCUACUUGAUUUUGUGACAGCCUUUUAUCAGUGCACUGAGUUGACAAAAAAAAAAAAUCAUGAACAUUCUCAUAGUGUCUUUCGAAAUCAGAUGUAUAUUCCACCGUAUGUGCUAUCUUUGUGAUUCAAGUUGCGGAGAGAGAGAAAAAAAA